GAUGACGUCAAUCAUCAUGCCCCUUAUGACCUGGGCUACACACGUGCUACAAUGGUUGGUACAACGAGUUGCGAGUCGGUGACGGCAAGCUAAUCUCUUAAAGCCAAUCUCAGUUCGGAUUGUAGGCUGCAACUCGCCUACAUGAAGUCGGAAUCGCUAGUAAUCGCGGAUCAGCACGCCGCGGUGAAUACGUUCCCGGGCCUUGUACACACCGCCCGUCACACCACGAGAGUUUGUAACACCCGAAGUCGGUGAGGUAACCUUUUGGAGCCAGCCGCCUAAGGUGGGAUAGAUGAUUGGGGUGAAGUCGUAACAGGGUAACCGUUA
rnacentral:rRNA from 1 species